GACGAACGCUGGCGGCGUGCUUAACACAUGCAAGUCGAACGAAGUGGCGAACGGGUGAGUAAUACGUGGGUAACCUGCCCUCCUUGUUGGGAUAAGCCUUGGAAACGGGGUCUAAUACCGAAUAAAGGGGGAUGGGCUCGCGGCCUAUCAGCUUGUUGGUGGGGUGAUGGCCUACCAAGGCGGUGACGGGUAGCCGGGCUGAGAAGGCGCCCGGCCACAUAGGGACGGCGCAGCGGCCUAGGCUCGUACGCGGGGGGGCAUUGGGGGAUAUUGCACAAUGGGCGAAGGAGCCAUGCCGCGUCGCUGAGUGGGGCAUGAGGGCUUUCAGGUUGUAACACUCUUUAGGAAGCGAACGGGUACGUGGAGAAGAAGCGCCGGCUAACUACGUGCCAGCAGCCGCGGUAAUAC
rnacentral:rRNA from 1 species